GCCCUAUUUCUCUUCCCUAUCAUAGCUAUCAACCAGAGCUGUCUCUGGCGUAGCUAGUAGGUUGAUUUCUGGUUGAGCAUUAGAGGCAAAAUUCAUCUGUCCAGAUGUGGACACCUAAUUGUGGAUGUCUACAUCUGAGUUAGUUGUUUAGACUCUUGUUUAUAGGAAAGAAAUGGGCACCCCUAGGACAUGAGUCAUCGUAUGCUAGAGUAAAUGUCUAAAAUAGGUCAGAUGAAUCAUUCUCUAAAUGUGUCUCUUUCUCUUCUAUGACUAUAAAGGGAGUCCAAAGUCACCAGGCUGGGGGGAAAUGGAGAGAGAUCUUUAAAGUACGAUCCAGGACUUCCAGUCUCCUCUUACUGUGUUCUCCAGCUGCGGAAAGUCAACUUGGAGUGGAGUGGGGGAGAGGAGAGUCUUACAAUUGGUGCUACCUUAUUUUCCAAGUUCUAUUUCCUCAAGCUAAGUGGCACGUUGUCACUGGGAUGCCCUUUCUGAGCAUCUGCAGUUAUCUAAGAGACACAGACCAACAUGAAUCGCUGCUUGCACGCUGCCUCUGUGGACCCAGGACCUAUCACUUUAUUCGAUCCAUACUCAAAAGGAAAACUGCCAGGAAAGGAAAAGCUGAUAUCAUCACGCUGGAACUAGAUUCUGUGGCGACAUGCUUCUCUUUCCCUUUGGCUUCCUGCUCUCCCUGUCCCCGUGUGCAGCCCAGGCCAUGACCUCAGCACUUGGCUGGGCUACGAUGGCCUGUUUAACAGGCAGAGGCUGCAAAGACUAAGGGAGUUGCUGGUGUGCUAUUUUUAACCAGCUGGACAGUUAAAUAAUUCACACAGACGCAUAGUGUUCUGGGCUAUGCCUUAGACUUGAAAGGGGAGAAGAGCACUGUAUUGUCCCCACUAGACCUGCUUAACCUUAUCAAGCAAUGGAUUCCCAGGCACUUUAAAACAAAAGACAAUCAACAAACCCAGGACUGAAAGCUCAGCCCCACUGAUGUCAGUGCGACUCCUGGCUUUGGCUGCAAUGAAACCUGGAUCACACGGAGUUAGCUGCAAGGCAUGAGCAGUUCCAUAUUUCCUUUAUUUUUAUGCUACAAAACUCUUUCUUUCCAUGACAAUAAGACCCA
rnacentral:lncRNA from 1 species